AGGAACUUAGGCUAACACCAAGA
rnacentral:tRNA from 1 species